rnacentral:rRNA from 1 species
GACGAACGCUGGCGGCGUGCUUAACACAUGCAAGUCGAACGGAAAGGCCCUGCUUUUGUGGGGUGCUCGAGUGGCGAACGGGUGAGUAACACGUGAGUAACCUGCCCUUGACUUUGGGAUAACUUCAGGAAACUGGGGCUAAUACCGGAUAGGAGCUCCUGCUGCAUGGUGGGGGUUGGAAAGUUUCGGCGGUUGGGGAUGGACUCGCGGCUUAUCAGCUUGUUGGUGGGGUAGUGGCUUACCAAGGCUUUGACGGGUAGCCGGCCUGAGAGGGUGACCGGCCACAUUGGGACUGAGAUACGGCCCAGACUCCUACGGGAGGCAGCAGUGGGGAAUAUUGCACAAUGGGCGGAAGCCUGAUGCAGCAACGCCGCGUGCGGGAUGACGGCCUUCGGGUUGUAAACCGCUUUCGCCUGUGACGAAGCGUGAGUGACGGUAAUGGGUAAAGAAGCACCGGCUAACUACGUGCCAGCAGCCGCGGUGAUACGUAGGGUGCGAGCGUUGUCCGGAUUUAUUGGGCGUAAAGGGCUCGUAGGUGGUUGAUCGCGUCGGAAGUGUAAUCUUGGGGCUUAACCCUGAGCGUGCUUUCGAUACGGGUUGACUUGAGGAAGGUAGGGGAGAAUGGAAUUCCUGGUGGAGCGGUGGAAUGCGCAGAUAUCAGGAGGAACACCAGUGGCGAAGGCGGUUCUCUGGGCCUUUCCUGACGCUGAGGUGCGAAAGCGUGGGGAGCGAACAGGCUUAGAUACCCUGGUAGUCCACGCUGUAAACGGUGGGUACUAGGUGUGGGGUCCAUUCCACGGGUUCCGUGCCGUAGCUAACGCUUUAAGUACCCCGCCUGGGGAGUACGGCCGCAAGGCUAAAACUCAAAGGAAUUGACGGGGCCCCGCACAAGCGGCGGAGCAUGCGGAUUAAUUCGAUGCAACGCGUAGAACCUUACCUGGGUUUGACAUGGAUCGGGAGCGCUCAGAGAUGGGUGUGCCUCUUUUGGGGUCGGUUCACAGGUGGUGCAUGGCUGUCGUCAGCUCGUGUCGUGAGAUGUUGGGUUAAGUCCCGCAACGAGCGCAACCCUUGUUCACUGUUGCCAGCACGUUAUGGUGGGGACUCAGUGGAGACCGCCGGGGUCAACUCGGAGGAAGGUGGGGAUGACGUCAAGUCAUCAUGCCCCUUAUGUCCAGGGCUUCACGCAUGCUACAAUGGCUGGUACAGAGAGUGGCGAGCCUGUGAGGGUGAGCGAAUCUCGGAAAGCCGGUCUCAGUUCGGAUUGGGGUCUGCAACUCGACCUCAUGAAGUCGGAGUCGCUAGUAAUCGCAGAUCAGCAACGCUGCGGUGAAUACGUUCCCGGGGCU